GAUUAGAGGCAUGCUUGAGGAUGGAAGUGGUUAGUGAAGGAGGAAUCGUUAAAAGAGAGCGAAAUUCUUAGGUAUCUGAGCUGGUGUGAAGAUUUUUGUGAACUGGCAGCGGAUAGAGACUUUAUAAUGCAAUCACUUGGGCCUUUGGAAACUACAUUCCUGCUUCGAAGCCGACCUCUAUUUUGAAUGAGUUAAGAAUAUUUAAACACCAUCAAUUCAUCGAGGAAUGCGAGUGGGACUUGUGCAAAUGAGAAAGAGAAGGGGCCUAGCAGCGCACGUGCCAACAUGUUGCACUUGUGGGAGACUGGGUUAGGCAGCUUGUGAUUUUUGAACCAAAAAUCAGGCCAAUCUGCUUAUCAGGAUUGGAGGCAUACUUAAGGAUGGAAGUGGUUAGUGGGGGAAUGGAUCCUCAAAAGAGAUCGGAAGUCUUGGCUAUUAGCACUGGUGUGGAGACUUUCAUGGUGGACGAAGACUCUAUAAUGCAAUCGCUUUGGCCUCUUAGAAGUGUAUUCCUGUUUCAAAGUUGAGUGCUAUUUUGAAUAAGGUUGAAAUCUUGUACCUUGGAAAUCUCAUGUGUAGAUGUUGAUAGAUGUCUUAAAAUUUAUAAAUUCAACAGUCUGUCGAUGACAUUGAAGUAGGUUCGAUGUUGACAGUCUGUUGAUGUCAUCGAAGUCCCAUCGAAGGUGUCAUCGAACGUAUGACAAGAUUUAUGCAGAGUUGUAUAUCUGCGAGAUUUGUUUCUGAUUUUGAUUGUGAUUCUCUUAGAGGUUAUAUAUAGGAGUGAAAUCGAAAUCUAAAGGUAUUUUAUAAUUCGUUCCUAGGGUUUCAAAGGGCUUGUAAGGGAGAUUCGAGGCUUGUUCGAAUCGGGUAUUCUCACUAUCUCUUGUAAUUUCUGAUUUCAUAGUGAUUACUGUCGCUUUGUGCC